rnacentral:rRNA from 2 species
ACAACUUUCAGCAACGG